rnacentral:rRNA from 1 species
AUGCCUACUCUGUUGUUUCACCUUGUGCUACCGGGAAAAUCACAUGUGGUGGAUGGCUUGAGGCAGGCAAAAAUGACAACGACGAAGGUAGCGCAGUUCAGCGCCAUCCACUCUCGCGUUGAACACAAACAGCUCAACCCUGGGGUGUAUGGCGUUGAACGUGUUUGUUCCACAAAAGUGCUAAGUUUUUUCAAAUACCAAAGUGCUAACAUGAAAAGUUCUAUGGAACAAGAGGUACCAGAAGGUGGAGAACAAAAGAGUGAUGUUGCUGUUGCUGCUGACCUUUUCUCACUAAAGAAUGUCCCUCCAACACAUUUCUCCCUCACUGGUUGUGUUGUUUCGGUUGGUGCCAUCUUAUGA